GUUACAAUGUCCGUUGGUGCUGUGUGAGUACCUGUGCUGUCUGUCUCCCGAAUCAUUCAUGCCAGCAUGACAGAAUAAUCGACCAUUAAGGGAGACAGCCCGUCUGACGUCGCCACAAUGGGUCCAUCCGACAACACAACUUCAGCAACUGGUCCAUCCGACGGCGCCGCAACUUCGGCAGCUGCAUCUGGCCCUGAUCGACUCGCACUGCAUUCCUGUGAUGUCGUUGAUGUGAUUUGGUUGAAAUAAAGACCCAUAUUGCGCAAAUUUAAA